CUGCUAAUAAGAGUUAAAUGUUGGCAUAUAUUUUAUCCUGAAGGAUUGUAUCACAAGAAGACUUGUGUUAUCAUGAACUUGCCAUAGAGAAAAAGUGAUUGUAGCUUAUGACUAAUGGGAUAAAUUUUAUGUUUUGAAAGCAAUUAGAUUCAUGAAUGAAAAAUUAAAUUUUAAAAAAGAUUAGAUUUGAAUAAUGAUGGCAAAGGACCCCGCUAAUAAGAGUUAAAUGUUGGCAUAUAUUUUAUCAUGAAGGAUUGUAUCACAAGAAGA
rnacentral:lncRNA from 1 species